rnacentral:rRNA from 1 species
AUUGAACGCUGGCGGCAUGCCUUACACAUGCAAGUCGAACGGCAGCACGGGAGCUUGCUCCUGGUGGCGAGUGGCGAACGGGUGAGUAAUACAUCGGAACGUACCCAGGAGUGGGGGAUAACGUAGCGAAAGUUACGCUAAUACCGCAUAUUCUGUGAGCAGGAAAGCGGGGGAUCGCAAGACCUCGCGCUCUUGGAGCGGCCGAUGUCGGAUUAGCUAGUUGGUGAGGUAAAAGCUCACCAAGGCGACGAUCCGUAGCAGGUCUGGGAGGAUGAUCUGCCACACUGGGACGGAGACACGGCCCAGACUCCUACGGGAGGCAGCAGUGGGGAAUUUUGGACAAUGGGGGCAACCCUGAUCCAGCCAUGCCGCGUGAGUGAAGAAGGCCUUCGGGUUGUAAAGCUCUUUCGGCGGGGAAGAAAUCCUCUAGGUUAAUACCCUUGGGGGGAUGACGGUACCUGAAGAAUAAGCACCGGCUAACUACGUGCCAGCCGCCGCAGUAAAAC